rnacentral:rRNA from 1 species
AGAGUUUGAUCAUGGCUCAGAACGAACGCUGGCGGCAGGCCUAACACAUGCAAGUCGAGCGAGACCUUCGGGUCUAGCGGCGGACGGGUUAGUAACGCGUGGGAACGUGCCCUUCUCUGCGGAAUAGCCACUGGAAACGGUGAGUGAUACCGCAUACGCCCUUCGGGGGAAAGAUUUAUCGGAGAAGGAUCGGCCCGCGUUAGAUUAGAUAGUUGGUGGGGUAACGGCCUACCAAGUCUACGAUCUAUAGCUGGUUUUAGAGGAUGAUCAGCAACACUGGGACUGAGACACGGCCCAGACUCCUACGGGAGGCAGCAGUGGGGAAUCUUAGACAAUGGGCGCAAGCCUGAUCUAGCCAUGCCGCGUGUGUGAUGAAGGUCUUAGGAUCGUAAAGCACUUUCGCCAGGGAUGAUAAUGACAGUACCUGGUAAAGAAACCCCGGCUAACUCCGUGCCAGCAGCCGCGGUAAUACGGAGGGGGUUAGCGUUGUUCGGAAUUACUGGGCGUAAAGCGUACGUAGGCGGAUCAGAAAGUUGGGGGUGAAAUCCCGGGGCUCAACCCCGGAACUGCCUCCAAACUCCUGGUCUUG